CGCAGAUAGCCGCAAGCGCCGCUGUUCGUGUGCAGGUUAUACGGAGAAAAUCUUGCCAGGACUCGACCGAACGUGUCACGUGAUCGAGCGUCGGAACAGCAGAACCUAGGGCGCAAGUGGCGCCUAUUUGUGGCAACGCAAAGACUGCGAGUGUAAUUUCCUCGAACGUUUCCUUUUCAGAAAACGUUCGGCGUGGUUUGGUGACGUGUGCUAGUGACCAAAGGGACCUGUGCUUACGCCUGUGUUGACUGCUCAGUCAAGAUCACGCUGUGAAGGAAUGGCGUGGAGGUGUCCCAUCGUUACGUACGCCGUCGGCAACUGCUGAGCCUAGUAGUACCAGCACCGGCGGAUCGUCAUGGCUGUCUCCGAAUCUGGAAUGUGGAUGCGUUUCGCCUCCCGUUACCCGGGGCCCUCUGUGGACGAGGACACCGUGUCCUUCGACAUGUCCUUGCACCAGUACCUGGCGGUUCUUUACGCUGGACUCGCACUGUCGCUGGUGGCCCUGGCGGCAGAGAUCCUCGUGCACCGCUAUGGGGGCUAGUGAGAGCGAGAUGACUCACGACGAACGAUCGCACCCGCCAGCGUGAUAGCUCAGUUACUUGCCUGCUCGCUCCUAAGACCACCGCUCUUGCACACUGUAGCGUGUCGGCUGAGAAGCUGGUGUUUAAAACAUGUCUCCGAAAUAACUUUGCGCAUACUAAGUUAUGAAGCCACUAGCCUUGCGACUAUGAGCGAUGCUUCAAUGCAGUGUAUCUCGCAUUUCACUGGUGCAGUAUGUGCGUGAAAUAAGCCUCCAUGCUUACGUCUAAUUUUAUUCCCACAUUAUGCCGCAUGGCAAUCCAACAUUUUCAAUAUCUUUGCAACCGAAGGCGUAAGGAAAAAAAGUAAUAUAUCAAACGUUAAUGCUCUAACUGUGCUUGGGGUAUUUUGGCGUCGAAUUUCGCAAAGUGUAUAGUCAAAAUCGUGAUGAUGGUCUUACGCGUUGCAGUACACGCGGUAUGCCUGAAAAGGUAGAUUUAGGUCGGGGCCAGCUCUGAUUUUCCAUUUCAGAUGCGUGUGGAACGCAGAAAUGCUCUGAGGAAGCAACUACUCAACCGAUUUGAAUGAAUUUUGUUGCAAUCCAGGGAGAAAGGUAAAUUCUCGUGAUUCUGCGUAGGAGCAUCUUGAUUUAGGAAUUUGAAUGUUUCAAAAAAUGUUACGAAUCGAAAUGAAGCAUAAUGUCUGCUAAUCGGUAACUCUUCAGCAAAAGCAGAUUUCGCAGUUCUUUAAACCUCAUCUAUUCGAGCACCUAAAGGGAACAAGUUUCAUGUAAUUAUUUGCACCUUAAGUGCAAUGGUUGCAAUGUUUACAAUGACUAUGCAAGUCAUAUGCUCGCAAAUUGUCGGUAUACUGGGUACUCCUUUCCUUUAAUUGUACCAAAUUUCUUUGAUGUUGCCUGUGGCAGAUAGCACAAUUCUAAUCUUUGAUGUAAAUUACUAGAUUAAUUAUGCUUAAUAAUUAGAUAUAUUAGAUUACUAUUAGAUUACAUGAAAGAGAAAUGAAUGUGUUUAAUUCGUGUAUCAAUAUAAUUGCUCAACAGCGCAUAUUUAUAUCUACGAGUUGUAGCUCGUGUGUAUGCAAGGCAUUUGGAUUUAAAACGAGUAACGAGGAUAUAGUACCGGUUUCGGGAUUUGCUCCGUCAAGCCUGGGGUAAACAUUCGCAGUUCCUCCACUUGCACUUUUCUAGGAAAAUGCUGUCUGACGCAAUUAAACGUAAAAGUUACUGGAAUGUCACUGAAUUUCGUCGCACCCAUCGAAAAUUAAUAUUUCGAAACUGGCGUAUAGUCGCGAGAAUUCGUUCUGAGUAGGCAAGCCUUGUGAGCUGCACCGGCUGCAAUCCGUAAAUUUAAAUAUGUGCCGUAAAAUAAGCAAUUAAUAUGUAAUUAGUAAACUUAUGCUCUACAAUCAAAAUUUCGAUUUGUCUUAGAAGUAGUGGCUUCUCCAACGAGUAAUAUAGAUCAAGGGUUAGAUUCGUACUCGCUGCCACAGGCAAAGCUUUAAAAUGAUUUGGUGCUUCUUCGAACAGCAAUUUCAGAGAGGUGUGUGAUGCACGCGUUUUGUCCGCUUUAGAUUUGACAUAAGGCGCAGUUUUACAGACUAUGUGGUAACCUUUUGUAUUGUUGAGUCACACAGUGCUAAACAUGAUAUCUCAGUUAUUUUUUAAUUUUACGGCUUUCCUACGUUUGUUUUAAAACUUGAUCCCCUGAAUAAAGGAAUUCGUUCUCUGCAA